GCGUGUAUUCAUGAAAGGUAGAUUAAAUUAAAGUGUAGAAAGUGUAGCUGAGAAAGAGCAGAAUAGCAGAUCUAAUCAGGAUCUAAUUGCUCCCUUUUUAAACCUUCGUAAUGCCUAUUAUUUUACUUUGAUUCCCCGAAGUCGCAAAUACGGAAUCAGAAUGCACAGUCAAAUAAUUUACGCAAUUGUCAAAGAUCGUCACACUGCACUGUUAAUUCCGGUAGCGAGUGAAAAAAACGAAGUUCAUGACAGCAUAUGAUAUAUAUAUGGUUUUGCAGGUUAGGUCGCGUAGAACGAGCGAUACCCGUGGUUCAGCCGGUUUGAUGAAUGACAAACUGUUUCAGCAAAUUAGGAAUCGCUGACAGCACCGACGGUAUCGAGCACUUUUAUUUCAACCAAGCGGAACGAAGCUAAAUGAUUGCUCUGUGCACGAGAUAAUACAAAAUAAUCAGUUGUAAUUGUUUUCCUACGUCGUUGAUACGGCUAUAUUCAGGUUAGUCGAAUUUUGCAAUUCGCAAGUUACCACGUAUUAGUAACGUGUAUUAGGAUGUUUUAUUUUUUAAGGAAUGAACUAUCAUUCUGCACGUGGCACAAUGCAAUCCUGAUUAAAUCUGUCGACGUUACAUAAUUAUAAUUUUAUGAGCAAACUUAGAGGUUAUAUCGCAGAAAAGAAAAAAUAGGUUUACUUCGUUUACCUUUUUAUAUUCUUAUUUGUAAUCGAAUUAACGAAAUGACGAUAUAUAAUUAUAAUAUCUUUUUUUUUUUACUAAUUGAGCUUAUAUUACUCUGCCGUGGUUGUGGGUUACAUAAUCGUGGAUCGUGCGAUUCACUUUUGGAAAAUCUAUUUUUACACAAUCAAAAAUAAACUUGAACUUAACUUUAAUAGAGCUGCUUAGUGAGUGAUGGUACCGGGAAUACGUGACCUCUUUACCGGAAUGUAUGCUGUGUUUAUUUUGUAAAUUUCAAAGUUUUGGCUCGGGUAUAUUACUUACUGUUGUACAUUAUUUAAUUUGAAAAUGUCGAGAUAUAAUUCCUACUAAUCCAUAUUCUUGACGCGUUAAAUUAUAGAAUACGUAUCCUGUAAAAGAUUUUUUUACUUCGGCAGUAAUUGAAUAGUUGUUUGUUCCCAUUGCAUUUUAAAUUCAUAAUUUUGCAUAUUUCAUUGAGCUUUAAUGAUUCUGUACUAGUUUAAAAGUGAGUGAGUGAAUUUUUGAUAGAGUUGCCCUA